GGGGAUUUAGCUUAGUGGUAGAGCGCUUGCCUAGCAAGCACAAGGCCCUGGGUUCAGUUCCCAGCUCCG
rnacentral:tRNA from 1 species